rnacentral:lncRNA from 1 species
AUCAAUGAAAAAAAAAUAAUCUCCUUUUCGACCUACCAUGUUUGUUCAUCCCUGUUUUGUAUAUCAAAGACACAAAUUAGUUCAUUGAUUCAUUCUCCCCACGCCUUUUGAUUCUUGUUAGGUUUAAAUUAAUUCUCAAAUAUCCCUUAUUCACACAACAAAGAUUAAUGGGUAGCAUAUAAGUAAAUAAAAUUUGAACUCAUCAAACUUUUACAUUGAGACUCGU